ensembl:snoRNA U3 Small nucleolar RNA U3
AAGACUAUACUUUCAGGGAUCAUUUCUAUAGUUCGUUACUAGAGAAGUUACUAUGAUUGUAGAGAAUUGGAAACCACAAGGAGUAAGCAUUGUGUUCUCCCUGAGGGUGAAGCUGACUCUUAGUGUUGUUUUGCUGUGACUGCCACUUGCCAUUGAUGAUUGUUCCUGCUCUCCUUUGGGGGUGCUGGAGGGACAGGAUGCAGUCUGACAGU